UUUCUCUUUUCUUUUUAUUGAUAACUUUGUAGAAACAGAAUUGUAGAACAAAUCAGUACAGGUUACAUACAGUGUCAGAUUAGGUCAAACAACACCUGUACAGGUUACAUACAGUGUCAGAUUAGGUCAAACAACACCUGUACAGGUUACAUACAGUGUCAGAUUAGACCAAACAACACCUGUACAGGUUCCAAACAGUGUCAGAUUAGGUAAACUUCAAACUAUUGUUUUUCUACUUGUAGCUCUGAAGUAAUAUGAACCCAUAUGAAAUUAAGUAAUAUUUUACCCAGCUGAAGGAGCUGUACAUCUGUAGCACUACAUUUAGUUAGAAUGCUGGACACACAUUUAUCAAAACAGCUUGUAGUUGGCACAGGCAAAUAGAACACAGAAGUAGAACCAUCAUUUUCUACAUGGCAAGGAUCACUUUACACUGACAAAUCAAUAUUUAAAAUACAUUUCUUCUUUAUACAAAGAUUCAUCAUCAGACACACAUAAAAGAUUUCAUUAAAUGAAAUGUUAAAAAAUGUGCACAUACCCAAAUCUCAACAAUUUUAAUAGUAAAAUAUAUACAUGUACAUAAUCUAAUAAAAAUGAUUUGAAUUAAAGAAGAAAAAAAUCUGUCUUCAUCAACCUUAUCUUGUUUUUAACUUUGAAUUUUUAAUGUAAACCCCACAUAAUUUUCACAGCAGACAAUCACUCUUAUUGUUCAGGCAAGAUUGGCUAUCAGGUGUCUGAAUGUGCGACUAAUUACCAAAAAUUAACAAGUUAUACCAACAAAUACUAGUCUCUCUUGUUGGCCCAGAUGGAAGCGGGGUUUUACUGUGGGAGAAAGCCACAGAUGACUAACUACAUUUUCACGUCUAAUUAGGGAAUGACCCUUAGGGAAUAACCUUAGGGAAUGACCUUAGGAGAUGACCUUAGGGAAUGACCUUAGGGAAUGACCUUAGGAGAUGAUCUUGGGUGUAAAAGGCAAGUAUAUGCCACCUGAUCACAAAACAAACAAUGAAAAUGAACUUAUAUUUUGUCUCGACGAACUUGACCUUUGACCUUUUGUUUAUGGGAAUGAGAGCGAUUCUGAAACACCCAACUCUGAAUUAGAAUUAAUAAGAAGUUUGAAUUUACACUGAUAUGUACCAUUCAUACAAACAUAACAAUUCUACCCUUUACUUCUUCCACAUAGACAUUACGUGAUAUGUAACAUUUAGUCAGCUUAAAAGAAAAUGAAUGCAUAUAUGUUCUAGAUAAGCCUUUUUAGUGGUUAGUUUGACCUGACCCCUGGACUUAGAGGUACAGACUGGGGGUGUCAUGUGACACAUAUACAUGUAUGUUCUAUUUAAAAAAGCUGUCCCCACGUUCUGCAGUAAAAUUCUUCGGUCAUAUAAAAAUCAUAUCACUGUCAUUAAUACACUCAUAAACAAGCUCUAU